AUAUAUUUAGAAAAAAAUUUAAUAAAUUCAAAAACGCAAAAAAAAGGGAAAAAAAAAAAAAAAAAAAAAAAAAAAAAUUCAGAAUAAUUAUAGGAAAAAAUAUUUUUUCUAACGUUUCUUACAAAAAAAUGAAAUGUUUCGUUCCUUUUCUUUUUUUAUAAAAUUGUAUAUAUUUUAUAAUAUAAAUUUUUUUGUUACAAUUUUUUAUUAAUGAGGUUUUUUGAACAAAUUCUUUUCUUAUUAUUAAAUAUAUGAAAAUUUUUUACAACCUGUUUUAUUUUUGUUUAUUUAUUUUUUUUUUUUACCAUUUUAUAGGAUAAUAUUUUGUAAUAUAUAUAUAUAUAUAUAUA
rnacentral:sRNA from 1 species